rnacentral:rRNA from 1 species
UACGAGGGGGGCAAGCGUUGUCCGGAAUUAUUGGGCGUAAAGCGCGCGCAGGCGGUCUUUUAAGUCUGAUGUGAAAGCCCACGGCUCAACCGUGGAGGGUCAUUGGAAACUGGGAGACUUGAGUGCAGAAGAGAAGAGUGGAAUUCCACGUGUAGCGGUGAAAUGCGUAGAGAUGUGGAGGAACACCAGUGGCGAAGGCGGCUUUCUGGUCUGUAACUGACGCUGAGGCGCGAAAGCGUGGGGAGCAAACAGG